rnacentral:rRNA from 1 species
ACACAUGCAAGUCGAGCGGAGAUUGCAUUUAUGUAAUCUUAGCGGCGGACGGGUGAGUAACGCGUAGGCAACCUGCCUUGCACAGAGGGAUAACACCGAGAAACUGGUGCUAAUACCACAUGAUAUCAUAACAAGGCAUCUUGAAAUGAUCAAAGGAGAAAUCCGGUGCAAGAUGGGCCUGCGUCCGAUUAGUUAGUUGGUGAGGUAACGGCUCACCAAGGCGACGAUCGGUAGCCGAACUGAGAGGUUGAUCGGCCACAUUGGGACUGAGACACGGACCAGACUCCUACGGGAGGCAGAAGUGGGGAAUAUUGCGCAAUGGGGGGAACCCUGACGCAGCAACGCCGCGUGAAGGAAGAAGGCCUUCGGGUUGUAAACUUUUUUGAUUGGGGAAGAAAAAAAUGACGGUACCCAAGGAACAAGCCACGGCUAACUACGUGCCAGCAGCCGCGGUAAUACGUAGGUGGCGAGCGUUGUCCGGAAUUACUGGGUGUAAAGGGCGUGUAGGCGGGAUUGUAAGUCAGAUGUGAAAUUCCAGGGCUUAACUCUGGAGGUGCAUCUGAAACUAUAAUUCUUGAGUGCUGGAGAGGAAAGCGGAAUUCCUAGUGUAGCGGUGAAAUGCGUAGAUAUUAGGAAGAACACCAGUGGCGAAGGCGGCUUUCUGGACAGUAACUGACGCUGAGGCGCGAAAGCGUGGGGAGCAAACAGGAUUAGAUACCCUGGUAGUCCACGCUGUAAACGAUGGAUACUAGGUGUAGGAGGUAUCGACCCCUUCUGUGCCGGAGUUAACACAAUAAGUAUCCCACCUGGGGAGUACGGCCGCAAGGCUGAAACUCAAAGGAAUUGACGGGGGCCCGCACAAGCAGUGGAGUAUGUGGUUUAAUUCGAAGCAACGCGAAGAACCUUACCAGGGCUUGACAUCCCUCGGAUAACAUAGAGAUAUGUUAGUCCUUCGGGACGAGGAGACAGGUGGUGCAUGGUUGUCGUCAGCUCGUGUCGUGAGAUGUUGGGUUAAGUCCCGCAACGAGCGCAACCCCUAUUGUUAGUUGCCAUCAUUAAGUUGGGCACUCUAACGAGACUGCCGGUGACAAAUCGGAGGAAGGUGGGGACGACGUCAAAUCAUCAUGCCCCUUAUGUCCUGGGCUACACACGUACUACAAUGGUCACUACAAAGGGAAGCAAUACCGCAAGGAGGAGCAAAUCCCCAAAGGUGACCUCAGUUCGGAUUGUGGGCUGAAACCCGCCCCACAUGAAGUCGGAAUUGCUAGUAAUGGCAGGUCAGCAUACUGUCGUGAAUACGUUCCCGGGCCUUGUACACACCGCCCGUCACACCAUGAGAGUUUG